UGCCUUGGCAUCUUGGCAUUUAUGACCUU
rnacentral:piRNA from 1 species